AAGUCGUAACAAGGUAUCUGUAGGUGAACCUGCAGAUGGAUCAUUUCGAUGAAAAACCUUUUUUCUUGAGGUGUGGCUCGCACCUGUCUAACUAAACUUGAGCUACCCCCUUUUAACACGGUUGCAUCGGUUGGCUGUCCAACAGCGCGGACCUCGCGUUCGCUGCUGGAAAGGCGGUCGACACUUUUUAUACCAAAACACUUUUGAUGAUCUAGGAGUUGAAUGAAAAAAAAAGUUUAAUUUUUUAACUAAAAACAACUUUUGGCAACGGAUCUCUUGGUUCUCC
rnacentral:misc_RNA from 1 species